AUUGCAGUGUAUCUGCAAGGAAGUGAUGCCAUUCCUUCUCAUGUUCAUGUUGCCCAUCUGCCAGGAAAGGGCAUUGUUUCGGGAGAGAGGCUGAGUGGAUAGUUGCAUAGCCCCUCACCCUGCAAUUCGGGCAGUUUCCUGAUCCUAAAUCCAGCUCCGGGCUUCACCUUCUAUCACAGACUUGUAAGUAAGGAAAACAAAUGAGAAAUGGCAAACCUUAUGGGUACAUUCUUUUGGACGGCCUUUUAUACGUGCCAGUUCGAUUACACAAAUGGAAAGGGAAGGAUGUUGGAUGGAUGAAGAGGAUGUAUGCGUUGACAUUUGGCACUUUUUACUUGUGAUGAGAAAAGAAAUGAAUAAAAAUGGUAAAGCCCA